rnacentral:rRNA from 1 species
GAUGAACGCUAGCGGCAGGCUUAACACAUGCAAGUCGAGGGGUAUAGUAGCAAUACUAGAGACCGGCGCACGGGUGCGUAACGCGUAUGCAACCUACCUUUUACAGAGGGAUAGCCCAGAGAAAUUUGGAUUAAUGCCCCAUAGUGUUAUCGAAUCGCAUGGUUUGAUAACUAAAGUUCCAACGGUAUAAGAUGAGCAUGCGUCCCAUUAGUUAGUUGGUAAGGUAACGGCUUACCAAGACAAUGAUGGGUAGGGGUCCUGAGAGGGAGAUCCCCCACACUGGUACUGAGACACGGACCAGACUCCUACGGGAGGCAGCAGUGAGGAAUAUUGGUCAAUGGGCGCAAGCCUGAACCAGCCAUGCCGCGUGCAGGAAGACGGUCCUAUGGAUUGUAAACUGCUUUUUAUACAGGAAGAAACCCUCCCACGUGUGGGAGCUUGACGGUACUGUAAGAAUAAGGAUCGGCUAACUCCGUGCCAGCAGCCGCGGUAAAGUGACU